CUACUGAGAAUGCUGUUCUGUUUUUAAAGUCAAAGAUGUGCAAGAGUGGAAAAUAGUGGUGGGAUUCCUCUCCGAAAUGAAAGAUGGCACUCAAAUGCUAGACAAAUUCUAAACCUGAAGAAAGAGGAAGGCAAAAUCGUCUGGGAAAAUGAAACAGCAAGUAACUACAGCUUGCCGACAAACCACCAGCUAGGAGAAAAACCAGGGGCAGAGUCUCUUCCACAGUCCCCAGAAAGAAUCAACCCUGCUGACACCCUGAUCUUGGA